rnacentral:lncRNA from 1 species
UAUACAUCGCUCACAUCGAGAAACAUUCUUUGUAGCCUAAAGGGUAGUAGCAAUAGAUUUGGUUAGUCGGAUGCACGCUUUCUCCUAGUGAAAUGCUCACUGAUAUCCGUGCGCUUGCGGAUCAUUUCCUUAUUGCGUUACCAAAUUUCAAUAAACAGCAGCAGCUAUUUGAUUUAACUGAGAUUCAAUCAUUUUAUUAAAGCAAAUUUGAUUCUUGGUGGCAGUAGAGAAAUUAUCCAUUCAGUUAUUUAUAUUUUCUAGCAUUUUAUCAUUUUAUGCCAAUUUCUUAGAUAGAUUAUCCAUUAGCUUUCCUUGAUUAGUCACUAACUCUCUCAA